AACGAACGCUGGCGGCGCGUUUUAAGCAUGCAAGUCGAGCGGCAAGGGCCUUCGGGCCCCUAGAGCGGCGGACGGGUGAGUAACACGUGGACAAUCUGCCCCCCGGCCGGGGAUAGCCCAGGGAAACCUGGAUUAAUACCGGAUGAGACGGGACGCACGAGGGUGCGAUCCGGGAAAGGCGCUGCGGCGCCGCCGGGGGAUGAGUCCGCGACCCAUUAGCUGGACGGCGGGGUAAAGGCCCACCGUGGCGACGAUGGGUAGCCGGCCUGAGAGGGUGGACGGCCACAUUGGAACUGAGACACGGUCCAGACUCCUACGGGAGGCAGCAGCUAAGAAUCUUCCGCAAUGGGCGAAAGCCUGACGGAGCGACGCCGCGUGAACGAAGAAGGCCGUGAGGUUGUAAAGUUCUUUUCGGGAGGGGGAAUGACCGUGGCAGGGAAUGGCCGCGGGAUGACGUGAAUCCCGGAAUAAGCCCCGGCUAACUACGUGCCAGCAGCCGCGGUAACACGUAGGGGGCGAGCGUUGUUCGGAAUCAUUGGGCGUAAAGGGCGUGCAGGCGGCACUGCAAGUCCGGCGUGAAAGACCCCGGCCCAACCGGGGGGGUGCGCUGGAAACUGCGGUGCUUGAGUACAGGAGGGGAUGCCGGAAUUCCAGGUGUAGGGGUGAAAUCUGUAGAUAUCUGGAAGAACACCGAUGGCGAAGGCAGGCAUCUGGCCAUGUACUGACGCUGAGACGCGAAGGUGCGGGGAGCAAACA
rnacentral:rRNA from 1 species